rnacentral:rRNA from 1 species
AACGAACGCUGGCGGCAUGCCUAACACAUGCAAGUCGAACGGGAUCCGGACUUCGGUCCGGUGAGAGUGGCGGACGGGUGAGUAACACGUGGGAACCUGCCUUUUGGUUCGGGAUAACCGCGGGAAACUGCGGCUAAUACCGGAUGCUCCCGAGAGGGAAAAGAUUUAUCGCCAGAAGAGGGGCCCGCGUCCGAUUAGGUAGUUGGUGGGGUAAUGGCCUACCAAGCCGACGAUCGGUAGCUGGUCUGAGAGGAUGAUCAGCCACACUGGGACUGAGAUACGGCCCAGACUCCUACGGGAGGCAGCAGUGGGGAAUAUUGGACAAUGGGGGGCAACCCUGAUCCAGCAAUGCCGCGUAAGUGAUGAAGGCCUUAGGGUUGUAAAGCUCUUUUGCCAGGGAAGAUGAUGACUGUACCUGGAGAAUAAGCCCCGGCUAACUUCGUGCCAGCAGCCGCGGUAAU